rnacentral:rRNA from 1 species
AUGCAUAUGGGGAUUUACUGGGUUUGUUGUUUGUUAUAUCCGGCCCCAUUUAAAUUGUUUAGAUGGUAUAGUUUUGUUAUGUUUCACCUCUUGACAUGCUUAACAACAUUUAAUAUUGUUGGGUACAUAAACGAGAUCGAACUAAAUAACUUGAAUGUGAUGUUUCGUCAAUAUGUAACGGAGUUGCAUGUUGAGAUCCACUUAAUUUGUAGGAUUGUUUGUGCAUUUGCCAUGCCAUGUUUCAUUAAACCGGACAUGCAUCAUACUUGGUUGUCAAUCAUGCCAUGUUUAUGUGAUGGUUGUUUACUAUGUUGUUUCCUUCUUUCCGGUGUUGCUUCUUUGGGUUAG